rnacentral:rRNA from 1 species
GAUGAACGCUGGCGGCGUGCCUAAUACAUGCAAGUCGAGCGAACAGACGAGGAGCUUGCUCCUCUGACGUUAGCGGCGGACGGGUGAGUAACACGUGGAUAACCUACCUAUAAGACUGGGAUAACUUCGGGAAACCGGAGCUAAUACCGGAUAAUAUAUUGAACCGCAUGGUUCAAUAGUGAAAGACGGUUUUGCUGUCACUUAUAGAUGGAUCCGCGCCGCAUUAGCUAGUUGGUAAGGUAACGGCUUACCAAGGCAACGAUGCGUAGCCGACCUGAGAGGGUGAUCGGCCACACUGGAACUGGGACACGGUCCAGACUCCUACGGGAGGCAGCAGUAGGGAAUCUUCCGCAAUGGGCGAAAGCUUGACGGAGCAACGCCGCGUGAGUGAUGAAGGUCUUCGGAUCUUAAAACUCUGUUAUUAGGGAAGAACAAAUGUGUAAGUAACUAUGCACGUCUUGACGGUACCUAAUCAGAAAGCCACGGCUAACUACGUG